rnacentral:tRNA from 1 species
UCCCCAUUGCUCAGCUGGUAAAGAAUCUGCUUGCAGUGCUGGAGAUCUAGGUUCGAUUCCUGGGUGGGGAA